UCACACCCGUUCCCAUACCGAACACGGAAGUUAAGCUUCUCAGCGCCGAUGGUAGUUGGGGGUCUCCCCCUGUGAGAGUAGGACGCCGCCGGGC
rnacentral:rRNA from 1 species